UUAUUUAGAGCAUGAUGAACCCAGCCGUUAGCAGGAAGGCGGCACAACAACGUCAGCGGCGCACCUACAGAGUGAGAAGAGAUAUUUUCGCUGAGUACGACGAUGCUGAGUUACUGAAAAGAUUCAGAUUGGACCGUGCUGGUAUUGUUGCAGUGACUGAUAUAGUGAGAGACAAGCUGCAAAGUAAAACUGAAAGAAAUAGAGCCUUGACCCCUGAGAUGGUGGCCAUCACAUUACGAUAUUUAGCCACAGGAAAAAUGCAACAGUGCAGUUGUGAUGAUUUUGGAACAACGCAGCCCACUAUCAGCCGUGCAAUAUCACAGACAAUUGAUGCACUGGCUGACCCAGAAGUAAUCUGCCAGUUCGUGGCUUUCCCUCACACCCAGCGUGAAGUGCAGCAAAAACAGGCAGAGUUCAUGCAAGUAACUCAGUUUCCCGGUGUUGUGGGAGUGAUUGAUGGCACUCAUAUAAGAAUUGUGUCCUCCCUCAUGUCGAUGAACAUGUAUAUGUGAACAGGAAACGCUAUCACAGCAUAAAUGUGCAAGUAGUAUUUGAUGCUCACUAUAAGAUUCUUGACAUUGUGGCAAGGUGGCCUGGCUCAGUCAACGAUGCAAGAAUACUAGAUAAGUCAGCACUCAAACUGAUGUUUGAGAAACAACAUGUACCCUGCAGGAUGCUACCUUCCCGGGGACAGUGGCUAUCCCUGUAAGCAGUGGCUCCUCACUCCUUACCUUCGCCCUCAAACUGUUGCACAAGCUAAUUAUAACAGUUCCAGUACCUUACGAUGCAGCCGAGGGGACUGACGCCACCACCACCACUGCCACCACCGCCACAACAAGGGUUAUUCAAAUGGGGAACAUGCUUCAGGUGUUGCCCCAAGAUGCCUCAGCCCCGCAGCCCCACUUCCCCAUGAUAGUGCAGGCAGGGAAUGUCAUACAGGUUGUUCCAGCUGACAACACGCAGGUAUUAGGGGCAGAAGUCGUUGGAGUUGGUCGGGUCAUGCAAGUGGUCGGAGUCCCAGGCUUUCCCCCGACCCCAGCCCCAGACCCCUGCCCCAGCCACCCCUCUCCCUGUGACCCCUGCCCAGUCAUCCCUCACCCCCUCCUGCCCCCCUGCGGUGCUGCCAGCGGGGGUGAUGGGAGGUGGAGGUGGGCCACACACACCUGGGUUAGCUGUGGCUUGGCUUAUCUCCCUCCUCAGCAGCAAAUCCCGAGGAUCAACGAGGACAUGGUGGACCCAGAGAUUGCAGCAGCAGCAAGAGAGAGAGAGAGAAGCAAGAGAGGAGGGAGAGGAAGGAGAGGAGGAGGAGAGAGAGGGAGGCCAGGAGGGAGGCACGUCAGAGAGAGAGGGAGAGGAAGAGGUUGAUUCUGUUACAACAACAACUGCAACAACAACAACAGUUAGUCAGUGAGGAGGGGGAGGGGCCGUCCUCUGAUGCUGAGGAUGAGGUAUUGUUCAGGGAGGCCAUGUCGGAGGUGCCGGUGGUGGGGUCGCCAGUUCCGGAGUACGAGGUGGAGGAGGAAAAGGAAGAGGAGGACGAGGAGGAGGCACGGAUAAGGAAGAAGAAAAGAUUAUUACCUGUAGCCCUCCCUCCAGCUGAUAAGGGGAUAUUAAGGAGCCCUUCCUACAGGUUCGUUCGAUGCAAGGAGUUGGCACAGGAGGCGUCCGAGGCUGUGUAGAGCGGCCGUCUGAACCUGGUGCCACAGCUUACUAUGUUCAACAGGUGCGUGUGUGUGUGUGUGUGUGUGUGUGUGUGUGUGUGUGUGUGUGUGUGUGUGUUUUGUGUGGUCAUUUCACUAUCUAUCUAUCUGUUUAGUUUGUCUCCAUCUGUCUGUCUUUCUGUCAUUGGUCUGUCUGUCUGUCUGUGUAUUGCAAUGAUUUUUCAGUUAUGUAUUUUAUUUUUUAUUCUUGUGUACUUGUGUCUGUCUGUAUGUAUGUAUGUAUCAGUCAGUGAGUCAGUCAGUCAGUCACUCAGUUAGUCAGUUAGUCAGUCAUUCAGUCAGUCAGUUAGUCAGUCAUUCAGUCAGUUAGUGAGUUAGUCAGUUAGUCAGUCUGUCAGUCACUCACACAGUGUUAAUCCUCCUCUUCCUCCUCCUCCUCCUCCUCCUCCUCCUCCUCCUCCUCCUCCUCCUCCUCCUCCUCCUCCUCCUCCUCCUCCUCCUCCUCCUCCUCCUCCUCCUCCUCCUCCUCCUCGUCCACCUCCUCCUCCUCCUCCUCCUCCUCCUCCUCCUCCUCCUCCUCCUCCUCCUCCUCCUCCUCCUCCUGUUCCCCACCACCCCUGCCGAGAGGUGAGUGUAUGUACGUGUGUGUGUGUGUGUGUGUGUGUGUGUGUGUAGUAAUAAUAGUAAUGCUAUGUACAUAUAUAAAUACUGUUAAUAUUAUUGAUAAAAAAUAUUGAUGAUGAUGAUGAUGAUGAUUCAGUGGUGAUUAUGAAAAUGUGCAUUACAAUAUAGGGUAGAUAUUAUUGUUAUUACCUGUGUGUGUGUGUGUGUGUGUGUGUGUGUGUGUGUGUGUGUGUGUGUGUGUGUGUGUGUGUGUGUGUGUGUGUGUAUGUGUGUGUGUGAGGAAUAAUUGAAUAAUUGAAUAAUUGAUGCUCUCUCCUUUGCUAUUCAUUAUAUACAUGGACAGAUGCCUGAAGGAAGUGUGUGUAAGGGAGGAUAAAGAGAUCAUGCUGGCCUAUGCAGACGAUGUCGCUGUCGUGACAGGAAGCCAACAAGAUCUUCAAGAGGCCAUGACAAGAUGGAAUGAUGUUUUAAAUAGGGAAGGAAUGAGAAUGAACAAACAAAAAACUUAUUUACUAGUGGACAAGCAACAAGUGAUGGUGUGGCUCUGAGCCACUGUAGUAGGGAUGUUAUGGUUUAAGUGUAGGAAGUUGCAAAUGCUCACCUAACAAUUGCACCUUAGUAGAAAAACACAAACAGGAAGUUUAUGCAAGUUUUUAUCCUUAUAUAAAAUGUUGUAUUGCAUCAAACCUCCAUACAUUACUGUCUCUAUCCAGUAUGAGACCGGUGUUCAGGAAGCACAAGCAUGUGCUGAAUAACAAGAAGCCGGCAUUGGUGAAGGUGACAACAUUUCAUCUAUUUAUACAUACUUUUUAUUAUUAAAGCUUAUCUUAUAAUUAUUUCUGAAGAGAUUGACUAAUUUUUGUAGUAUUUAUGACUUAGAACUAUGAUAAAGCUAUGAAUUGAUAUAAUUCCUGAUUUG